rnacentral:rRNA from 1 species
AGUGAACGCUGGCGGUAGGCCUAACACAUGCAAGUCAAACGGCAGCACAGUAAGAGCUUGCUCUUACGGGUGGCGAGUGGCGGACGGGUGAGGAAUACAUCGGAAUCUACUUUUUCGUGGGGGAUAACGUAGGGAAACUUACGCUAAUACCGCAUACGACCUACGGGUGAAAGCAGGGGAUCUUCGGACCUUGCGCGAUUGAAUGAGCCGAUGUCGGAUUAGCUAGUUGGCGGGGUAAAGGCCCACCAAGGCGACGAUCCGUAGCUGGUCUGAGAGGAUGAUCAGCCACACUGGAACUGAGACACGGUCCAGACUCCUACGGGAGGCAGCAGUGGGGAAUAUUGGACAAUGGGCGCAAGCCUGAUCCAGCCAUACCGCGUGGGUGAAGAAGGCCUUCGGGUUGUAAAGCCCUUUUGUUGGGAAAGAAAAGCAGCAGGUUAAUACCCCGCUGUUCUGACGGUACCCAAAGAAUAAGCACCGGCUAACUUCGU